rnacentral:rRNA from 1 species
GACGAACGCUGGCGGCGUGCCUAAUACAUGCAAGUAGAACGCUGAAGCGAGGAGCUUGCUCUUCUUGGAUGAGUUGCGAACGGGUGAGUAACGCGUAGGUAACCUGCCUUGUAGCGGGGGAUAACUAUUGGAAACGAUAGCUAAUACCGCAUAACAAUGGAUGACACAUGUCAUUUAUUUGAAAGGGGCAAUUGCUCCACUACAAGAUGGACCUGCGUUGUAUUAGCUAGUAGGUGAGGUAAUGGCUCACCUAGGCGACGAUACAUAGCCGACCUGAGAGGGUGAUCGGCCACACUGGGACUGAGACACGGCCCAGACUCCUACGGGAGGCAGCAGUAGGGAAUCUUCGGCAAUGGGGGCAACCCUGACCGAGCAACGCCGCGUGAGUGAAGAAGGUUUUCGGAUCGUAAAGCUCUGUUGUAAGUCAAGAACGGGUGUGAGAGUGGAAAGUUCACACUGUGACGGUAGCUUACCAGAAAGGGACGGCUAACUACGUGC